rnacentral:rRNA from 1 species
GACGAACGCUGGCGGCGUGCUUAACACAUGCAAGUCGAACGGAAAGGCCCUGCUUUUGUGGGGUGCUCGAGUGGCGAACGGGUGAGUAACACGUGAGUAACCUGCCCUUGACUUUGGGAUAACUUCAGGAAACUGGGGCUCAUACCGGAUAGGAGCUCCUGCUGCAUGGUGGGGGUUGGAAAGUUUCGGCGGUUGGGGAUGGACUCGCGGCUUAUCAGCUUGUUGGUGGGGUAGUGGCUUACCAAGGCUUUGACGGGUAGCCGGCCUGAGAGGGUGACCGGCCACAUUGGGACUGAGAUACGGACCAGACUGCUACGGGAGGCAGCAGUGGGGAAUAUUGCACAAUGGGCGGAAGCCUGAUGCAGCAACGCCGCGUGCGGGAUGACGGCCUUCGGGUUGUAAACCGCUUUCGCCUGUGACGAAGCGUGAGUGACGGUAAUGGGUAAAGAAGCACCGGCUAACUACGUG